GGGGAGCGCUCCAGAGAGAAGCAGCCGCGCAAAGGCCCUGGGGCAGUGCGAGUGUGGGCUCAAUGGGAGCCCCAUGAGGCUGUGUGUGCAGCGGCGAGGGGAGAUGGGAGCCAUGGGCAGAGUCACCACAGGCCUGGGGCCUUGGAUGAAAUGGGGGCCACUGGAGGGUUUGAAGACAGGAGGGACAGAAGGGGUUUCAUAUUAAAAAGAGUGGUGUGUGUUACGCAAAGGAACUCACACAAUCCGCACCCCCUCCAAGCUGUUGGCCCCCACCCCACAAGCACACCUGGGGGCCAGGCCUGGGCUCAGGGGCGGGGCCUCAGGGGGCACCUGCCUCCCGAUGGGGGAGGCCCCCCUACAGCCCGCACAUCCUCAGAGGCUCCAAGGCCUGUCCAAAGGUUGUGACCUGUUCGUGAGGCUUGAGGGCUGGGACAAAUAAGUUCACCCCCAGGAUCCUCCACCGCUGUCCACUUGGGGCAAAGCCGUGGCCAGCUGGGUGGCUGGAAACAGACAAACAGACAGACAGACGAGCUUCCAGACACAGCUGCUCCAGCCAUCUCCUCCACCCCCGCCCCCUCCAUCUCUUUGUUUCUGUCCCUCCCCCAGCUCCCCGCCACGGCCACCCUCCCAUUCCUCUCCUCCCAGGAGACACUCUGCCUGGACGUCUCUCAGCUCUCAGCUCUCUCUGUUUCUGUCUCUUUCUCUCUCUGUCUCUCUGUCCUCUGACUCCCCUCUCCCGCCCUGCCCCCCGUUUCCCGAUCGAUACACUGAUUUCUGGGCACAGCCUAAGUGGGGUUUGGCUGCCUCUCUGGUGUCUGGUCGAUGGUGCGCAUUUCCUGGCUCUUCCCCAUGCUGGGGGCAGCGGGGUCAUGAGCUGCUGUUGCAGCAAAAUCGACUCGAGCUUUCUGCAGGUCCCCAGGAAAGGUGCCAGGGACCCACAGUGGGACAUCAGGGUGUGCAGCCCCCAGGCCCCCAUCAGUGGGGGGGGGCUUGUGGGCUCAGAGACCUGCAGGAGCCCCGCCUGUGCCGUGCCCCCUUGGGAGGUCUGGCUUCCGCAUCAGGCUGGGUGGAGCUGGCCCUUCCCGGGUACACUGAGGCAGAACCCGGCAGGCGGGAGGUCCUGGAGUCUGAGCUUUCCCACCCUACAGCCUGGGCCUCUCAGCUGCUCCAGAGCAGGGAACCGUGGAGAUCCCCUUGGAGUCCCCACCACCGCCCACCCGGCAGCCUACCCACAGGUUUCAUCUACAAGGUCUGGGAAGAGCCAGGCACCAGGGUUAGGGGCAGGAAGGAACCCAGCAAGGCAGACCCCAAGCCACAUCUCCCACCCGAUGCCCGGACCCAGUGACUCAGCCGUGAGCACCUCCGACGGAGGAGGCCUGGCCUGGUGCAGCCCAAGGGCGGCAGGCAAGCCCCGAGACACACGGCCUCGAGGACCAUGGAAAGCCCUGGGGUUCAGGGGCGCCUCGUGCCCAGGCCACUCCUCACACAGCCAGAGCCCCCAGGGCAGGGCCCCGUCUCCUCUUGGAUGAGGCUGGAGCAGCUGCCCCGAUGCCUGCCCUCUCCAGACCUCGGCCACCCUUCCAGCCUGGCCACUGGAGGGACAUGCCUUGGGGACACAGAGCACCUGUGCUAAGCAUUCGGGCCUAGCUGCCGGCUCAGCCUCGCACGCCUGCUCCCGUUCUGGGCCUCAGUUUCCCCCUCUGCGGGAAAACAGGCACGACGCUCUCAUUGCCCCCCUCACGGGGAAGAUUGCCCAGAUGAUUCCAGAGAGGGUGUGGCCACCAGCUCACAGCCAACCCCCCAGCCAGACCUCACAGCCCGCAGGCCUGCUCCCCAACAACCCUGUUGCGAAUCUCAGAAGGCAACAACAAACACCUCCCGGAUGCCCUCUGUGACUCUGCCCACAGGACAGAGACGGUUCUCCAGGUAAUUAGGCCAGGAUCUCUGCCUCCCGGUGCUGCUGUUGUCCCCGGCAGGUGUGUGCGGGGGCAGGAAAAUCGGGGGACAGCUGCACUCUUCCUGACCUCCCUGGCCCAUGGGCCACUGGCAGCAUGUGUGGACUGCGUUUACGGAAAUCUCCCCACUUGAACAAGCUAAUUCACACUACAGCAAGAGUGGCCAACAGCUCCUUCUCCCUCCUGGAAAGUCCUGGCAUCUUAAAGCAGAGAUUUACAGAAGAGUCACACAGGUGGGACAAAGGGCUCCCACACACACUUGACCAGCUUACGCUAACAUCAACCACGAUGCAUUCAUCAAAGCUAAGUGAUCCGCUCGGUGCAAGACCAUCAACCAAACUACAGGCUUUAUUGGGAUGUCACCACUACUUCCACUAAAGUCGUUUUUCUGUCCCAGGAUCCAAUCUGGGAUAUCAUGUUGUAUUGAGAUUAAAGUCAAUUUUUAAAAAGAGAAAAAUAUGUCUUAACUUGAAUUAAAACUAUGGGGAGGGCUGGCCCCGUGGCUUAGCAGUUAAGUGCGCGCGCUC